rnacentral:lncRNA from 1 species
UGUUGAAAAUACUCAAUAAUCAAAGUCAAGAAAAACAACAUCUAGAAGUAGAAAUAUUUAGCAAAGUCAAAAGAAAUAUUUUGUAUGACUUUAGUGAGAUUAUGCAUGACUUUACUACAUUUCUGAACCUAUAAAUAAGUAUCAUUGUAAUACGGAAGAUUAUCAAGCAAUACAAUAACAAUCAUUUGCUUCUCUUUAUCUUUCUUUAUGCAUUAUGAUAAUACCAUGUUUUAACAUGGUAUCAGAGCAGGUUCAACCCUAGGAACUCAGAAACGACUCAUCAUCGUUCAUAAUCCAAAACCAAAACCGUUCCUAGCCAAUUCACCAAAUCAAAACAGCCCAUGUUCUUCAUUUCCUGAAAAAAAAAUGCCAGGAAAGAUUGAAACCAUAAACCAAACAGAUUCAAAUAACCCAAAUCCAAACAGAAUCCACAGAAUGGGUCGAAGAGACCCAAAUCCAAUCAACUGCAAUGAAGAAGGAAUUAAUAAGCACCGAAAAUUAAUCGGAAAUUGCCGAGUAUUUCAGUUCCUCCCUGGAUUAGAU